CCGAUAAUUUGAGCUGCGACUGUGCAACCAACUUCAAAACUCAUGCCCAGAUGUCGCUAGUGUCGCCCUUGUUGUUUUUACAUCGUGAAACGAGGCAAAAUGGGCGAAACAAUUGGAUGCUAAUAAAAUACUUGUAUUCCUGUGAUUUCAUAUACCAAAUUGAACUUCGUAUCAUAUAUGCAUACUGUCAGUCAUUCCAAAAAGUUGACUUAGCGCUCAGUCACUUUCCCUCCAAUAGACCCAUCAUGUUGUCAAAAGCCUAAAACUCAUAUGUGAAGCUCACAUAUGGUGGAAUACAAAUGUGUGGAGACAAGGUAUUUCCCCAUUACUGCUACCACCCCAAGCACACCACGUCAAAUGCCUUACUAAAUUCAGCACCAUUCACCCAUAUGAUAAAGCAUCAGGAAAUUUACCUCAACCUAAGGAGUAACCCGAGUAAGGCUGUUGGUUGCUGUGAUUUCCAUUUUUGCGGUUUUUUAUCAUGAAAAUCAUCAGUGUGCUUCUUAGUAUAGAGCACGUAAUAGAUCCUUAAGCCAAUGCUGACCUUUGUCCAUAAAGGAAGAGGGACAUCCAGCAACGUUCUGCUCCAUCCUUAUCUUCCCGACGUACACUCAUCUAGCUUCACUGCUUUUGCUGCUACAACUUCACCGACGAGUGUCUUACUUCACCGACGAGUUGGAACACUUCAGUGGUCGCUACCCUUUGCUGAUACACACCUACAGUUACUCACCACGGGAUUAUGCCCAGGUAAUGCAGAAGAGACGUCGAUGGACACCAAAACAUCACCGAUAUCUCCAAAUUGUCAGCGUGGAUCAUCAUUUGUUGUUGGUAAUAUGUUUGUGUUAGUGUUAGUUAACCCGUUGUCUGCCACGCCUUUGUCCUCCCCUAGCUCCUUAGCACGGGCUGCGUGCGCUGUUCGGUCUCGUGGUUUUCAUGCCGCGGGGUUGGAAAGUCGCACCAGCCCAAAACUUACCGCAAGGCGCCUGAUAAGGCAAUGCACUAUAGGGACUUCCCCCUUGUCGAUACGGUGAUGGAUUCUCCUGUCACCGUGUCAGCCCGGACUUGUCAGCAAUGGCAAGUCCCACUUUGGUCACGGAUCCUUCA